AGGAGACUCCCCUUAGAAUGCCUGAGAUAGGGCAGGUGUCUUUCCACUCAGAAUACCUGAUGUCGGCCAGGGACCCCUCCCCUUACAAUGCCUGAGGUCAGCCAGGUGUCUCUUUCACUAGAAUGUUUGAGAUCGGCCAGGUGUAUCUGCCAUUACAAAGAAUGAAGUUGGCUUGAUGUCUCCCCAUUAGAAAGCCUGAAUUCAACCAGGAGUUUCUCCCAUUAGAAUGCCUGAGAUCGGCCAGGACUCUCCUGUGAGAAUGGUUGUGGGUCCAGAGCAAGCUUCCCUCCCCACUGCAGCUCCUGUGAAAGGGCCUGCUGGUCGACCUCAGACAAGACUAAUCAGCAGGCAGACCAACAAGCUAAAAUUUCUACUAUUACUGCCGACUCAGACCUGGAAGAAGUAGAUUGGGCUGCAAUCACACAAUGGGUGCAUCACCAGUGCGGACACCUAGGCGUACAGGGAACCAUGGCUUGGGGAGUGUAAAGAAGGAUGUUACCCCAGGAUGCAGUUCAGACAAUUUUAUCCCAAUGCACUACAUGCCAACAGUUAAAAACCAAGCCAAUUCCUCAAAGGGCUAUGGGGCACAUUCACCGGGGAAAAAUGCCAGGACAAAUUUGUCAAAUGGACUAUAUUUGUCCCUUGCCACUUUCUAAAGGGUGCCAAUAUAUAUGUACUGCUGUAGACACCUACUUAGGGCUCCUAGUAGCCUGUGCUUAUGCUAAUGCUAACCAAAUUAACACUAUUAAAACAUGAAAUAUCCUAAUUCUA
ensembl:lncRNA novel transcript